CCUACGGGAGGCAGCAGUGGGGAAUAUUGGACAAUGGGCGAAAGCCUGAUCCAGCAAUGCCGCGUGAGUGAUGAAGGCCUUAGGGUUGUAAAGCUCUUUUACCAGGGAUGAUAAUGACAGUACCUGGAGAAUAAGCUCCGGCUAACUCCGUGCCAGCAGCCGCGGUAAUACGGAGGGAGCUAGCGUUGUUCGGAAUUACUGGGCGUAAAGCGUACGUAGGCGGUUAUUCAAGUCAGAGGUGAAAGCCCGGGGCUCAACCCCGGAACGGCCUUUGAAACUAGAUAGCUAGAAUCUUGGAGAGGUUAGUGGAAUUCCGAGUGUAGAGGUGAAAUUCGUAGAUAUUCGGAAGAACACCAGUGGCGAAGGCGACUAACUGGACAAGUAUUGACGCUGAGGUACGAAAGCGUGGGGAGCAAACAGGAUUAGAUACCCUGGUAGUCCACGCCGUAAACGAUGAUAACUAGCUGUUCGGGCACUUGGUGCCUGAGUGGCGCAGCUAACGCAUUAAGUUAUCCGCCUGGGGAGUACGGUCGCAAGAUUAAAACUCAAAUGAAAUUGACGG
rnacentral:rRNA from 1 species